rnacentral:rRNA from 1 species
UACGUAGGGGGCAAGCGUUGUCCGGAUUCAUUGGGCGUAAAGAGCGUGUAGGCGGCCAGGUAGGUCUGGUGUGAAAACUCGAGGCUUAACCUCGAGAUGUCAUCGGAAACCAUCUGGCUAGAGUCCGGAAGAGGAGAGUGGAAUUCCGGGUGUAGCGGUGGAAUGCGUAGAGAUCCGGAAGAACACCGGUGGCGAAGGCGGCCUGCUGGGCAGUAGCUGACACUGAGGCGCGACAGCGUGGGGAGCAAACAGG